AGCAGCUCGCAGAUCACGAUCAAGUGCAUGCAGGCGCUCGUGAGGGUGCAGGCGCGGGCCAGGGACAGGCGCACGCGCCUCUCCGCGGACGGCCGAGACUCCUCACAGGGCGGCGACGCGCUCGACGAACGCGCCACACACGCGGAUCCAGUCAAGGACGCAGAGCCGCUAUUCCAGUAAAGGAUUUGAUGUGCUAAAACAAUAAUGUGGAGAUAAGUCAUAUGUCUGAUGGAAAAUAUAGCUAUAGCUAUUUUUUGUUUGUUUUAUCAGUAUCAUUUUAGGCUUCAGUUAGCUGAAAAAGAUAAUACAACGAGCAAUUUUCUACCAUGUGAUUAUAGCAUUGAUGUCAUAAUGAGCAGGAUGUCUCUUGUGUACUAUGAAGAAUGCUACUUAUAUACUUGAUUUCUUCGAUUUCAGUGGUGGUAUGCUUAUCAUUUCUCCUUAUCAUUUCAGGCUUCGGCAACGACGAGCAUGGCCAAGCUAGACACCAGAAGAGUAUUGCAUACUCAGCUACUCCAAUCGUUUGGGUCUUUGGGGAUGGUGGACUCGAUUGCUGAAUCAAUGGUGCCAUGUCAUGCCCCCUAUAUUACCUUUGCCCAAAUCAAAGUGCAUAUAUUUCCACGAGUUAUAGGGGGCAUGGCUGGGACGGUGAUGGAGGAGC